UCCAGCCUUGACUUGUGACCGACUCUGGACUGGCAGAGGGCGUCUGGAAAGGGAAAAUGCCAGGGGACGAAGCAUCAUCAUCAGACACCACCACCCCUGCCCCCACCCAAAGUCUCCCCUCGGGAUUUCCACUCAAGCUGAACAGACACCCCUGGGACAUUUUGACCCGGAAGUGUUUGUGCAAACGCCAACGUAGGAGUUGACUGUGGGGAGACAAAGCCCAGAAAGGAAACUUCAGCAAGAACUUCAAAAGCUGGUUCUAUUUUAAGCUCAGAAGGAAGUUCUGUGGAAGGAAAGUGUCUCCCACGGUGGCACGAACAACUUUUCCAGAUGAGGGCCAGGUCCUCCGUGGGCACGAGGGAAAACUAACAACUCUCAGAUCACCUGCGCUCGGGUAGCCGGUCUUUGUUUACCUGUGUGUGAGAGGCUCUUCUACAAAUUCCAGCAGCCAGUUCAAAAUAAGCCUGAGCUUGGCCUUGAUGGAUUUAUUGCUCAUUUGCUGCAGGCACAGACCGCUUGUACUGAAGGGGGAAAAAUACCAGUCUCUCCUCAGCUGCUUGCCCCAGAGUCCCGGGCCUGCCUGGCAACGAGCCUCUUUGCUCCUUCUCCAGCUCCGGGCCUGACACCACCUUGCCAUUGAAUAGUCUCGGGAAGAGUUCAGCGCAGGGUUUGCACUUUCCCAGCCAUUAGCCAGCUGCCAACGCAUUUCAUUAUCGUAGGAGGGUUUUGUACAUCAAAGUGAGCCCCAGACAGUGUGAUCAAGUGGAAGAGUUCCUAGUCAACAUUCUAACUUGCAGCAUUUUGUUUUCAUGGCUAUAAAUGCCAUCUGGUACCCAGGAACAGCAAAGGCCAGGGAUGGAAAAACCCUGCCUCCCUGUUUUGCUUAUUGAUGUAACAGUUAAUCCUGAUAAAGACCAAGGCCUCAGAACGAC